CGAAGGACCCCAUCCAGGAUUGGGAAAGCCUGAUUCCUAGCUGGAAAAAAGGACUGGCUGAGGGAGAAAGAAACCUGACACCAAAGGACUUUGAAAUCCUGGUCAUUGAAAUGGACUAUGGCAUGGACGACAAGGACCCUAUCCAACAUGUUCAUUUCUACAGCAAAUCUGAGCUUGACAAGGCAAAGC